rnacentral:rRNA from 1 species
GACGAACGCUGGCGGCGUGCUUAACACAUGCAAGUCGAACGCUGAAGCUCAGCUUUUGUUGGGUGGAUGAGUGGCGAACGGGUGAGUAACACGUGAGUAACCUGCCGCCUUCUUUGGGAUAACGCCCGGAAACGGGUGCUAAUACUGGAUAUUCACUGGUCUUCGCAUGGGGGUUGGUGGAAAGGGUUUUUCUGGUGGGGGAUGGGCUCGCGGCCUAUCAGCUUGUUGGUGGGGUGAUGGCCUACCAAGGCUUUGACGGGUAGCCGGCCUGAGAGGGUGACCGGUCACAUUGGGACUGAGAUACGGCCCAGACUCCUACGGGAGGCAGCAGUGGGGAAUAUUGCACAAUGGGCGCAAGCCUGAUGCAGCGACGCCGCGUGAGGGAUGGAGGCCUUCGGGUUGUGAACCUCUUUCGCUCAUGGUCAAGCCGCAACAAUGGUUGUGGUGAGGGUAGUGGGUAAAGAAGCGCCGGCUAACUACGUG